rnacentral:lncRNA from 1 species
AGCUUGAUUAGAUAUUUUCUUUUUACAGCGACGAAUACUUGGAUUAAUAGGCGCAUAGACUGACAUAAAGGGAUAUAUCUCCAUUUACUAAACUAAAUAAUAACACACACAUGAAUUGUUAAUUGUAAACGGUAAAUCUUCAUUCACUUCAUUCCAGAGAACUUUGUAAAUACAGAUCCACAACGUAACAUCACGGUAACAAUCUCACGGUCAAAAACGAGGACAGUAGCAGGAACCACAGUAAACCAUAACGGAACUUCAACCAAACUUAGAACCAUAAAUUUCAAACCAAAAAAAUAAAUCUAAAGGCAACGGAAAAUCUAACUCCUCCAGUUUCCUUCAGAGCCACCACCGUAACCACCUUCACGACGGCCACCUCCAUAACCGCCGCCGCCACCACCACCAUAACCACCUUCACGGCGGCCACCUCCGUAACCGCCGCCACCACCGUAUCCACCUUCACGACGGCCACCACAUCCGUAGCCUCCACCGCUACCACCACGGUAACCGCCACCGCCUCCACCUCCGCCGCUUCCGCGAGACUGAGCUUCGUUGACGGUGAUGUUACGACCGUCAAGGUCCU